rnacentral:rRNA from 1 species
AAAACUCUAAGCGGUGGAUCACUCGGCUCAUGGGUCGAUGAAGAACGCAGCAAACUGUGCGUCAUCGUGUGAACUGCAGGACACAUGAACAUCGACAUUUUGAACGCAUAUCGCAGUCCAUGCUGUUAUGUACUUUAAUUAAUUUUAAAGUGCUGCUUGGACUACAUAUGGUUGAGGGUUGUAAGACUAUGCAAAAUAAGUUGUUCAUAAAUUUCAUUUCAUGAUUUUUAUAAGCACAUGGUAUAUUAUUGGGUAUAAUAAUUAUUAAUUGUUAUAUUCAUAAUAUUAAAAAUUAUAUGAAAAACAUUAUUCUCACAUUGUUGUAAAUAUUUGAAUGUGAAAACGAAGAGAAAUAUUUUCUUUUUUUUUAAAUCAAAUAAUACUGAGAAAUGUCUAGCAUAAAAAAUGUGAAAUAUUUUUCAUCUAGAAUUGUCUCUUAUUAAUGAUGCAAAAAUCGAAAAAUGUUGCUAAUGUUAUUAUUCUUCGUUUGGUUUGUUAAAAAAUAUAACAAAUUUAAAUAUAUAAUGUUUUCUCUAUAUAAAAAGAAUUAAUGCUAAUAAAUGUUUUAUACAACCUCAACUCAUAUGGGACUACCCCCUGAAUUUAAGCAUAUUAAUUAGGGGAGGAAAAGAAACUAACAAGGAUUUUCUUAGUAGCGGCGAGCGAAAAGAAAUCAGUUCAGCACUAAGUCACUUUGUCUAUAUGGCAAAUGUGAGAUGCAGUGUAUGGAGCGUCAAUAUUCUAGUAUGAGAAAUUAACGAUUUAAGUCCUUCUUAAAUGAGGCCAUUUACCCAUAGAGGGUGCCAGGCCCGUAUAACGUUAAUGAUUACUAGAUGAUGUUUCCAAAGAGUCGUGUUGCUUGAUAGUGCAGCACUAAGUGGGUGGUAAACUCCAUCUAAAACUAAAUAUAACCAUGAGACCGAUAGUAACAAGUACCGUGAGGGAAAGUUGAAAGAACUCUGAAUAGAGAGUUAAACAGUACGUGAAACUGCUUAGAGGUUAAGCCCGAUGAACCUGAAUAUCCGUUAUGGAAAAUUCAUCAUUAGACUUGUAGUAUUUAAACAAUAUUAUGAUAAUAGUGUGCAUUUUUUCCAUAUAAGGACAUUGUAAUCUAUUAACAUAACUAAAUUUAUCAUAAAAUAUGGCUUAUAGUUUAUUCAAAUUAUUAUGCUUGCAUUUUAACAUAGAAUAAAUGUCAUUAAUUUGAUAAAGUGCUGAUAGAUUUAUAUGACUACAGUGCGUUAAUUUUUCGGAAUUAUAUAAUGGCAUAAUUAUCAUUGAUUUUUGUGUUUAUUAUAUGCACUUGUACGAUUAACAAUGCGAAAGAUUCAGGAUACCUUCGGGACCCGUCUUGAAACACGGACCAAGGAGUCUAACAUAUGUGCAAGUUAUUGGGAUAUAAACCUAAUAGCGUAAUUAACUUGACUAAUAAUGGGAUUAGUUUUUUAACUAUUUAUAGCUAAUUAACACAAUCCCGGGGCGUUCUAUAUAGUUAUGUAUAAUAAUAUUUAUAUUAUUUAUGCCUCUAACUGGAACGUACCUUGAGCAGAUAUGCUGUGACCCGAAAGAUGGUGAACUAUACUUGAUCAGGUUGAAGUCAGGGGAAACCCUGAUGGAAGACCGAAACAGUUCUGACGUGCAAAUCGAUUGUCAGAAUUGAGUAUAGGGGCGAAAGACCAAUCGAACCAUCUAGUAGCUGGUUCCUUCCGAAGUUUCCCUCAGGAUAGCUGGUGCAUUUUAAUGUUAUAUAAAAUAAUCUUAUCUGGUAAAGCGAAUGAUUAGAGGCCUUAGGGUCGAAACGAUCUUAACCUAUUCUCAAACUUUAAAUGGGUAAGAACCUUAACUUUCUUGAUAUGAAGUUUAAGGUUAUGAUAUAAUGUGCCCAGUGGCCACUUUUGGUAAGCAGAACUGGCGCUGUGGGAUGAACCAAACGUAAUGUUACGGUGCCCAAAUUAACAACUCAUGCAGAUACCAUGAAAGGCGUUGGUUGCUUAAAACAGCAGGACGGUGAUCAUGGAAGUCGAAAUCCGCUAAGGAGUGUGUAACAACUCACCUGCCGAAGCAACUAGCCCUUAAAAUGGAUGGCGCUUAAGUUGUAUACCUAUACAUUACCGCUAAAGUAGAUGAUUUAUAUUACUUGUAAUAUAAAUUUGAAACUUUAGUGAGUAGGAAGGUACAAUGGUAUGCGUAGAAGUGUUUGGCGUAAGCCUGCAUGGAGCUGCCAUUGGUACAGAUCUUGGUGGUAGUAGCAAAUAAUCGAAUGAGACUUGGAGGACUGAAGUGGAGAAGGGUUUCGUGUGAACAGUGGUUGAUCACGAGUUAGUCGGUCCUAAUUCAAGGCGAAGCCGAAAAUUUCAAGUAAUAAAAUGACUAUAUAUACAAAAUGCCAAUUAAUAUACUUGAAUAUUUUGAACGAAAGGAAUACGGUUCCAUUCCGUAACCUGUUGAGUAUCCGUUUGUUAUUAAUAUGGGCCUCGUGCUCAUCCUGCAACAGGAACGACCAUAAAGAAGCGUCGAGAGAUAUCGGAAGAGUUUUCUUUUCUGUUUAUAGCCGUACUACCAUGGAAGUCUUUCGCAGAGAGAUAUGGUAGAUGGGCUAGAAGAGCAUGACAUAUACUGUUGUGUCGAUAUUUUCUCCUCGGACCUUGAAAUUUAUGGUGGGAUACGCAAACUUCUCACAGGCCGUACCAAUAUCCGCAGCUGGUCUCCAAGGUGAAGAGUCUCUAGUCGAUAGAUAAGUAGGUAGGAAGUCGGCAAAUUAGAUCCGUAACUUCGGGAUAAGGAUUGGCUCUGAAGAUUGAGAUAGUCGGGCUUGAUUGGGAAACAAUAACAUGGUUUAUGUGCUCGUUCUGGGUAAAUAGAGUUUCUAUCAUUUAUGUUAGUUGCUUGUUCCCCGGAUAGUUUAGUUACGUAGCCAAUUGUGGAACUUUCUUGCUAAAAUUUUAAGAAUACUAGUUGGGUCAAACCAAUUAGUUCUUAUUAAUUAUAACGAUUAUCAAUUAACAAUCAAUUCAGAACUGGCACGGACUUGGGGAAUCCGACUGUCUAAUUAAAACAAAGCAUUGUGAUGGCCGGGGGGACAACUUCAAAUAAGGAUUGGCUCCAUUGGUGAAAAUAGAGUUUCUAUCAUUUAUGUUAGUUGCUUGUUCCCGGAUAGUUUAGUUACGUAGCCAAUUGUGGAACUUUCUUGCUAAAAUUUUUAAGAAUACUAGUUGGGUCAAACCAAUUAGUUCUCGAUUAUCAAUUAACAAUCAAUUCAGAACUGGCACGGACUUGGGGAAUCCGACUGUCUAAUUAAAACAAAGCAUUGUGAUGGCCCUAGCGGGUGUUGACACAAUGUGAUUUCUGCCCAGUGCUCUGAAUGUCAAAGUGAAGAAAUUCAAGUAAUCAACGGCGGAGUAACUAUGACUCUCUUAAGGUAGCCAAAUGCCUCGUCAUCUAAUUGACGCGCAUGACGGCGAUGGAGCAGGACAGCAUUACCCCUACCUACCCAAAAGUUAGCCCUUACCCACAAACCAUGAUUUCUAAGAUUGUUUUCGGGACCAGUAUUAAGAACUCACUUGUGCUGGGACUGGUAUUUUCGGACCUUUUCGGUAUUGGGCCGUUCCCGUUUCUAUAUCUUAGAUAAACUUUUCUUAACGCUACGUUUUUAUUUAAACUAUCUAUUCGGUUAUUAUAAAUUUCUUACGGAAGCGGAGGAGCAUUAGACACAAAUUUUGCAACUAUAUAUUUGUUAUAUAAUCUUGCGAAAAUAUGAACUUUUUAAUCAGAUUCGAUCUCCUUAUUUUG